GCGACCUCAGCUCAGGCGGGGCUACCCGCUGAGUUUAAGCAUAUCAAUAAGCGGAGG
rnacentral:rRNA from 1 species